rnacentral:rRNA from 1 species
CCUACGGGAGGCAGCAGUGAGGAAUAUUGGUCAAUGGGCGCAAGCCUGAACCAGCCAAGUCGCGUGAAGGAAGACGGUCCUAUGGGUUGUAAACCGCUUUUAUCGGGGAGCAAAACGCCCCACGCGUGGGGCUCCGAGAGUACCCGAAGAAAAAGCAUCGGCUAACUCCGUGCCAGCAGCCGCGGUAAUACGGAAGGUGCGGGCGUUAUCCGGAUUUAUUGGGGUUAAAGGGUGCGUAGGCCGGAAGUCAAGUUAGCGGGGAAAUGUAGGGGCUCAACCCCGGCCGGGCGGCGACAACUGGCGUGCUUGAGUCCGCGGAAAGCAGGCGGAAUUCGUGGUGUAGCGGUGAAAUGCUUAGAUAUGACGAAGAACCCCGAUUGCGAAGGCAGCAUGCUGCAGCGGAACUGACGCUGAUGCUCGAAAGCGCGGGUAUCGAACAGGAUUAGAUACCCGGGUAGUC